CCUCAGCCUUAUCUUCCCCAUUCGCAGCUUCCUCUUGAAGGAGGAGCAGCCCCUUCAAAAACGAGCUGUGUGCCCGGGCUGCACCCCCACACUGCUCUCCUCCUCUGCUGUCCCCCGGGUGCCCCGAGUGCCUGGCCUGCACUGCACAGUCCCCACCCUCAUGAGAGGGCCAGGAUGGUUAGGCACGUUACUGAUGUGAGCAGUCAGAGAGAGCAGAGACCAGCGAAAGCAGAGCGGAGCUGAGGGUGGAGGCCAGAGCUCAAAGCCUCUCAAGCCAUUUCUGCAGCCGUAACUGAAACCCACAGCCUCCUCGCCUCCUCGCCGAUGUAUUUACCAGGUGUUGAAAAGGCUCCUUACCACUUGUGACUUUCUAUUUCUCUGUGCUCUAAAUUGUGGGGCAGACAAGAAUGCAGGGAAAUGCUUCAUUUUUUUUUUGUCUCUUACAAUGAUGUGAAUCCUAGGCCUGAAAUCUAGAUCCAGAUUUUUGCAUAUCCCAAACUUCAGCAAUGCGUCUAUCAGGGACAUGCUUACUUCUGAUGCUUAGUUUAGCAAAGCUGUAAAUUGGCCCAUCCGCCUUGCUAUCUCAUAGGAUAGGUUUUUAAUCCUGAACCAGAGAAGACAGCUUUGCUCUUUGGUACUUCAGGAAAAUC
rnacentral:lncRNA from 1 species